UUGGGUAGGGGAGCGUUCUGUAAGCCUGUGAAGGUGUGUCGUGAGGCAUGCUGGAGGUAUCAGAAGUGCGAAUGCUGACAUAAGUAACGAUAAAGCGGGUGAAAAGCCCGCUCGCCGGAAGACCAAGGGUUCCUGUCCAACGUUAAUCGGGGCAGGGUGAGUCGACCCCUAAGGCGAGGCCGAAAGGCGUAGUCGAUGGGAAACGGGUUAAUAUUCCCGUACUUGGUGUUACUGCGAAGGGGGGACGGAGAAGGCUAUGUUGGCCGGGCGACGGUUGUCCCGGUUUAAGCGUGUAGGUGUGUGUUCCAGGUAAAUCCGGUUCACUUUAACACUGAGGCGUGACGACGAGGCACUACGGUGCUGAAGCAACAAAUGCCCUGCUUCCAGGAAAAGCCUCUAAGCAUCAGGUAACAUCAAAUCGUACCCCAAACCGACACAGGUGGUCAGGUAGAGAAUACCAAGGCGC
rnacentral:rRNA from 1 species